CUCUCCUCUAGCGGUGGAGGGAGACUGGCCUGGCUGCAAUGGAUUAAAAAGCAGGUGCUGUGGGCCAUCUUUCUAGAGGACUGAUGCUCCCCUUCCAGCUGGGGUGCCUCGACUAUGUCAUCCUGUUUCUGUGUCCCCAGUGAUGCCACCAAGCAGUCCAUUGUCAGCAAAAAGGGUUAAACAGAAGAAAAGUAAAGAGAAACUGAUCAUUUAGGAAUGUGUUGAACCACGUUGAUCUCAGACCAGUACAAGCGGCAUGCAAGAGGAAGACAUGUUGGAAGAAAGAAAGUUAUGUGAGAGAGACAGAGAUUCCAAAGGCUCUGGCUGCUAAGCUGAACUCCCAACCUUUUCACAGCUUAAGAACUGAGACAUUAAAUUCACCUAAAAUUCCCAAUGAUGACCAUGUGACAUACAUAAACUGACUCCCAGGGCAACAGGCCAGCUGCUUCUCAGGAUUAUUUCACUGACAGACUGGUGUCAAAAUAAACCUUUUAUUAGGAACAGGACUAUGUACACUAAUGAGGCAACAAAGCUCCCUACUGCUCUGUGUAGCUGUAGCCUGUGACUACCCUCCCUGGACUGCUUUGUUUCUGUUCCCGCGGGAAUUGUCUCAGGAAACAGAAAUCUGCAUAAAGAGUAGCCACGAAGUGUAGCAUCUUUUCAAGUCCUGGGAGACUUACUCUGUAGCACAUUGGUUACUAUUCUCUUACAUCAGGGUAAAUAAGAAGUAACUCCAUUGAAGUCGAUUAAGUUACAGUGCUCUAAAAACAGAAAACUGUGAGAGAAGAAACAGGCCCCCAGUUUUAAAGCACCACUGAGUUAGUCACUGAUAGCAGUUGCUGUGUCUAGAGGGUCAUAGAGAAUUUUAUAGUCUGCCAACAUCUGAAAAAAUCAUAAUUCUAAAUUAGAACAAUAUUUACUUAAAGAAAGGAGAAAUGUAUUGUCAUUAGUACAAGAAAAUUACCAGAGCAGACAGCCAUUGAUUGUGCUUAUAAUUGCAGACAUUCUGAAAAUGUUUGUUUGGAAAAAUUAUCAUCAAGAUAUUUAAAAAUCAU